rnacentral:rRNA from 1 species
GAUGAACGCUAGCGAUAGGCCUAACACAUGCAAGUCGAGGGGCAUCACAUGAAGUAGCAAUACGGAUGGUGGCGACCGGCGCACGGGUGAGUAACACGUAUGCAACCUGCCUUCAACAAGGGGAUAACCCGUUGAAAGACGGACUAAUACCCUAUAACACAGGGGUCCCGCAUGGGAAUAUUUGUUAAAGGACAACCGGUUGAAGAUGGGCAUGCGUUCCAUUAGCUAGUUGGCGGGGUAACGGCCCACCAAGGCAACGAUGGAUAGGGGAACUGAGAGGUUUAUCCCCCACACUGGUACUGAGACACGGACCAGACUCCUACGGGAGGCAGCAGUGAGGAAUAUUGGUCAAUGGACGCAAGUCUGAACCAGCCACGUCGCGUGAAGGAAGACGGCCCUACGGGUUGUAAACUUCUUUUAUACGGGAAUAAAGUGCCCCACGCGUGGGGUUUUGCAUGUACCGUAUGAAUAAGGAUCGGCUAACUCCGUGCCAGCAGCCGCGGUAAUUACGCAGCGAC